CCUACGGGAGGCAGCAGUAGGGAAUCUUCCACAAUGGACGCAAGCCUGACGGAGCAACGCCGCGUGGGUGAAGAAGGUCUUCGGAUCGUAAAACUCUGUUGUUAGAGAAGAAAGAGCGUGAGAGUAACUGUUCACGUCUUGACGGUAUCUAACCAGAAAGCCACGGCUAACUACGUGCCAGCAGCCGCGGUAAUACGUAGGUGGUAAGCGUUGUCCGGAUUUAUUGGGCGUAAAGCGAGCGCAGGCGGUCUUUUAAGUCUGAUGUGAAAGCCGUCGGCUUAACCGGAGUAGUGCAUUGGAAACUGGGGGACUUGAGUGCAGAAGAGGAGAGUGGAACUCCAUGUGUAGCGGUGAAAUGCGUAGAUAUAUGGAAGAACACCAGUGGCGAAGGCGGCUCUCUGGUCUGUAACUGACGCUGAGGUUCGAAAGCGUGGGUAGCAAACAGGAUUAGAUACCCGUGUAGUC
rnacentral:rRNA from 1 species